GUUAUCCACAAACUGUGCACCCAUUCUACUGUGGGUUGUAGCUAACUCUACUGCAGUAAGCCUGUCUCUGGUGCACGCACUGAUUCCACGCUACAGCUCCUUGGGCAGCAGGUCAGAUAGUGAUUUCCCACCUUAAUUCCCUAGUUACAGUCGCUCUGUAAUUGCUUUUUAAAUUGAAUCAUUUCAUACAUCUGUUAUUACAGAGUUAUGAAGCCCAUGGAAUUGUGACUGGCACAUGGCACAGGGAGGGAUGAAGACCUUUUGAGGCAGGAAAGCUUUCAGGCAGGGAGCAGUCCCAGGGAAGUCACUGGUGUGCAAUGGCCACAAAAGGAAAAAAGAGGAUGUCUCACUUUAACUAUGUCUGCAAAUGCAGAAGCAACUUCUGUAAGGCUGUUUAAUGAUAUAGUCCUUCACACUUGGGAUAUACUGGAUCUCAGUUAUGAGCCCUUUUACAGCCUUUAAAGACCUCUAUACCCAAAGUAUUUUUUCAGAGUUCAACAUGAGCCAGGAUCAUUCUCAGGCAAAAUGGAAAAAAAAUACCCAGUCAUUUUGGCUGAAUAGCAAUGUGCAUCCAAGCUGGAAAUCUGCUGAGCCACCGAUAUUGUGGAACAUUUUUAUCUGGAGACUUUCCUGUGAUCUAAACAAGCAGUUUUUAAUUUGCAAGAAAAUAGUUAGGGGGUUGGCUUCAUAAUUAAUUUCUGUGUAAGACACUGUGCUUAUUAUCUCUGCAGGUACACUGUAGAACCUCUUAACAGUAUAGUUGAUUUCUAAGCAUUACAUUAAAGUCCUUUUAGGUAUUAUAAUAUGGCAACAUGUCCCUGACUCCCAGUGAAUCUGGAUCUAUGACUGUGUUCUCCUGGACUGGGACAACUUUUCAUAUUUUUUCAUUAUUCCUGUAAGUAGAAAUUGCAAAUAUCGUCUGUAAAGGAUGAAUGUUAUACAAAGGAAGCUGGUAGAGGACUGGGCUUGGAAUCAGUUCUUGAACUGGGAGUCAGGUUAGUUGACUAAUUCUUGUUUCAGGGCAAGUUAUCUGCUUGUCUGAGGUCACCUGUGCAAUCUCAUAGCAAGACCGAACCUUGAGUUAGACGUUGGCUCCUUUCUGUAUUGAAUUUCCUUGCAAAUGAUAAAGUGCAUUUCCACUAUAAAAAAAAUACACUGUCUUGUUUUCUUUGCCUCCAGUGUGCUAUUUCCCUGGCAAAUGGUGAUGCACUGAAUACAUUAAGCAGCCUUAUAAAUUCAUUUUUUGGUAGCUUAAAUUUGUUGUAAUUUGGUACGUUAAGCAAUUCUCCAUGUAGCAUUGUACUAAAAGAAAAGACAUUAAAAGGCUACCAAAGUUGCUGAUACAGUAUUUAUUAUCUGAAAAUAAUGACCAUCACUGAAAACAGAUCAAUUGGAUUUGAGCAAACUAAUCUUAUGACUAUCAAUUAAGGCCACAUUUUCUGAGGACCUAGUUUUAUGACUUGUUAUAUAGAAGUAAAUCCAUCUUUGAAUUUCAAACUUGCAAUGUGGGGUGAACUUGGGAUAUAACCGGCCAACAUUCCCCCUAAACGGGAUGUUGUUGCUAUGGAAGAGUAAAAUAAAGAAAUUGCAACACUGUAUUUUCCCAGUCUGGAGAGGGCUGCUUUCUCAACCAUCAGUUGCUUUGAGUUUGCUUAUUUGUGGAGUUAGUGAUGAUCGUAGCUCCCAAGGGAUGUUUCUAUGAUGCAUUUGUCCAGAUCCUUUUUGAAGCCAUAAACUUCUACUGCCUGCUUAACACAUAUCCUGCAGCAAGGAGAUUCAGAACUCUUCAUUGUGUGAAGUAUAUACUUUUCUUUGUUCUAAACAUUCCUCUGUUAAGAAACUAUAGAUGCCUCUUAGUUCUUGUUUUAUUUAUUUUUUUUGCCAGAAGCAAGACAUUCCCACACCACACAAGAUUUAGUGGUCUUCCAUCAUACAACACCUCCCUCCCCUGAUUCGUCUCUUUUCCAGACCAGUCAUCAAACCUACAUCCUUCUUCUUCAUGUGUAUGCUAUUUUGCACUUCUAUAAACAUGUUGAAAUCCCAUGAAAUUACCCAGGUCAGGGUGAAUUCAAUGACAACUAAGACACCAAUGACUUGCCCAGUACUCCAGAAUCCAUAGGCUAAGGAACAAUGAGAGCUUACCAGCUCCUCCUGUCACAGAGCCCAGAUGAGCCUUCCUGGUCACAAUAGGGCUUUUCUUUCCCUGAGCUGGAGCUACUCUUGCCUGCUAACAUUUCACAUUUUCCUGGCUGCCACUUUACACGUUUGCCUUUGAGUUUCUCACCUUCCUGAAAUGUUUAUUCUCUUGAGUCCUCCCUUACAGCAGAUCUAACAUCAGGGAGCAGACACUCUUCAGUCUCUGAGCCAAAGCCUUGGGCUGAUAAGAGGAUUCAACUCUGAAUCUCUUCAGUAUAAAACAAAAACAUGAAAUUGAAGUGUAAAAGGACUGGAAAUUCUAGCGAGAGGCUAUGCCUUGCAGCUGUGUGCUCAACACUUCAAUACCAGCAACUGCAGUGCAGCCCCUUCUGGGGCAGGGAGAGAGUCCUGCUCAGCACCCCUCUGAACCAGAGCAGGUGUGAUAAAAAGGCAAUUUAGAAACAACGAGACAAACCCUCAUGGGGAAUGGUGAGGUGCUGCAGUGCUUUUUACUGCAGCAGAAAAGAGAACUUUAAAUCUUGCACAUCUCAGGGAGCGAACAUUUAAUCUGUGUGAUAUUUGACAUUGCUUUCUGUAAACAUGUGAAGGAUCAGUCAGAUGCUUUUGAGGCUGGAACUUAAAAUUCCAGGGAGUUUAGGCCAGGCAUUUAUCCCUGCUAGCCAUUGUCUGCUAGCGCAGAGGCUGCAGAAGUUCACUUUUUUUACUCUCCCAGCAAGUACAUGAACAACAGCAAGAAACUUUCUACUUUUUACACUUGCCAUGAAAAAGUAGGAGCAGAGCUGGAAUAGGAUCCUGUCUGGAUAUUACAGAAAGCCACAAUAAACUUUCAAAGGCAUUUUUGCUGGUUUGAGCAUCACAAGGAAGCUCUCUUCUGUAAAUCCCAUCCCAUACACGGAUAAUUCUGUCUCUGGUGUUCAUUCUUACUUCACAUAUUUUUAUAAGAGAUGGUCUCUAGAUGUACAAAUUUCAUCUAUGACUCAAAGCAAGUAUUGUAAAAACACUGUAGAUUAAACAGCAGUGAUUUAAUUGGAAAGUAGCUUAGGUCUUACUGAGCAGCUGCAGAACUGAAAAUCUGCCCAGAAGCACACAGAUGGAUCUAACUGUCUCAAGACAGCACCUAGAUUGCUGCUAUCAUGUGGAUUAUGAAGACAGUAAACGCAUUGCAUCCAUCAUUCGGUUGGGAAGAGUUUUGGUUCAAUGUCUUACGAAGAAGAAGUAAAAAGCUCUAUCGAAUACCCUGCAGACAAGGAACAUUUUUCCAAAUUGAUUUUGGUAGAAAAAGGUUCCCUUUCAAUCUUGCCUCGUAUAAAGUAGUAUUUUUGCCUUAGGAGAAUAAAGGAUAAAGUGAAACUUUUCCUACUUUCUUUAAUUGUAGAACAAAUCCUUAAUAAAGCUAAAAAAUAGUCGGAAAAUGAAUGACAAUUUACUUCCUUUUUGAAGGUAGUGUUUUCGUUUGUAACACCAAAGGAGAGAGUGGUUCUUCAAAUGGGAAAAAUAGCACUUAAAGUGAAGAUGCUACUCUUAGUUAUUGUGUGAGACAGGUUUUAUAAAGACUUUAAUGUGGAAAAAUAAUGAAAAAAUGGCAUUUUGAAAAUGAGAAUAUAAAAAUAGUAAUGCUUGGAGUGAGAAAACAACACCCUUUUUAUCGGAACACCAGUUUCAACAAGUGAUUACUGCACCUCGGGCAGACAUAAUGCUAGUAACAAUAUGUUGGAUAUUUGGAAUACUUUGUCAUAUUUUAGAUAUUUUUUUUUUACUUGGAAUAUUUUGUCAGAAGGGAAUCUAGUUCACUUUACAUUAUUAAUGUGAUCCCUGCUGACCAUCAAGAAGUGCUGCCUGAAAAAAUUGCACUAAGUGUAGAAUUAGAUUCUCUCUAUUUUCACAUGAAUCAGCAUUAUAGAAACAUGAAGGCAAAGCUGCUCAAAGAUCCAAUCCAAAGCCCAUUAAAAAUCAAUGAAAUCUUUGCAAUGAGCUUCUAGUUUGGGUUACCUCCCCACUGACUGUAAAUUAAAUUUAUCUGUCAGGCAGCAAUAAUACAGUGAUAUAAUUAACUUGCUUAGAAUACAAUCACUCCAACUUUCAUUAAAAGUGAUGAGUUUCUUUCAAUUACCUUGCCGAGAUGCAUUUUGUUGCUGUUUGCUUGUUUGGUGCUGAAGGAAAAAAAAAACCACAACUAUUUGGUUAAUUACCCUCUGGACUGGUGAUUGUUGCUAUAAUGGAGUCUGACUUCCAGGGUCAUGUUUGCAAAUGCAGUGACAAAUAGGGACAUCUGUGGAGGGGGGACAAUCACAACCAUUUUCAUAGCAGAGCCAGGAGCAUGCUCAUCUCACCCAGAAGUUAAUGAGAACUCGGUGCAGCAUUGAUUCUGCCUCAGCAGCUGUAUGGGUGGUGAAUGAAUAUUGCAAUAAACGGCUGCACACAUUUCCAAGCAGUGACAGACAGGUAAGGUGAAAAUGCAGACCCUGGAGCAUCUUAGAGUCUGGGUAAACCAUUUCUUGUGGCCUCUUUGUUCUGAAAAAUCCCCUGACAGACACACUGCUGCCUUGUACUUCAGGAUUUCACUGGACUUAGGAAAUUCAAUAGUUCUCAAACUGUGCCUUCUCUGGGGGCAAGAGCUAGGAUUGAGUGGCAAUCACCUCCUCUGCUGUGGCUCAUCCUUUCUCAGCAGACUCUCAGGCCGCCUUUGAGCGAAUCUUCCAUUCUUCCUUGUCUAAAUCUCGGGUCUGAGCAGGACGACAGAGAGAUGGAGAGACUUUCUCUUCUCUUAACUCCGCAAUACUUCUCACCCUUGCAUCUUCAUGGAAGCUGCAGAAAUGAGCCGCACCAAACCACAGUAGGGGAGAGAAGAGCAUUAAAUAAAAAUGAGACCGAACCGAGCAGAGCUACGAGGAACUUGGCAGAACAGAUUCCCAUGGGUUCACAUGAGCAUCUUCAGCUGCGAUGCACUGAACACCCGCCAACAGCACAGCAGCCACAGGGGUUGCUUCAGCCUGGGCUGCAGGAGGACACGCCAACUGCAGUGCGAAUUUUCCCUGCAUUUGCUCCCUGUCACAGCUGUAUGCACAUUAAGGUUUACAGUCCUCUCUCCUUUCUUUCCCCUUUCGAUCUCUUUCUUGAAAGAGUUGGAAAGCUGACGAAACUUGAAAAGAAAAUCCCCUGAUUUCAGAUGCAGGCAUAGCUAGGGGGGAACGUAAGUGUCUGUUUUCAGCUGGGCUGCUUUUGACCUAGCAAACUAACCACAGCUAUUUCUUUAUUCUUUAGAAGUCUGAGGCAGGGGACAUUUGAAAGCACGAGGGUCACAGAGGAGAGUCACAGCAUAGUGUCAGCGCUGUGAUAUCAGCAGUUGGAAAAAGCUUCAGACGCACCUUUAAGCAUAGGCUUAGAGCUAAAUAAAUCAUGGCCUAGUAAUGGACAGACCAGAGGUAGGGGAAAGAUUUUGUUAGAGUUGACCUGGAAGAAUCUGGAGAAAUGGAGCAAAGAAAAAAAAAAAAAAAAAGGAUACAUAUAUACAUUUUUAAUCUGGGUGAACUUAUUCUGUUUUCACAUUAUUUAACAGCUGUUUUAAUAUUAAAAUCUACUUUAAUUUUAAUGAGGUAAAAAUGCCAUUUAGGAGGCAAAGAAACAAAACAGAAAGGUUGCAGUUUGAGAACACUGACAUAAGAAUUGGCCGUGUCCUUUCUCGUUGUCCUUUCUUGCCCCUUACCCACCUGCAAAAAGUCCAUGUGUCACACCAACCAACUUGUCAGUUCUUCUGGAAAUCCAUUUUUAGGUGAAUUUUGUAUUCAUCUGAGAGGACUCGUUGAGCUCCCCUGAACCAGUAUUUGAUGCAUGGCUUAUGAUUUGUCUGUCUUACGUAGGAAGAACUCUAUGUUGUAGAUAAGUUCUCCAGUGCAAAACCUGCCCCUGAGCCUUCCUUCAGAGGCACAAAGCAGUCUCCUUUGCUUGGCAAGACAUGCUCUGGCUGGCACCUGCAGACUGCUGAGCUGUCUAGCACAGUUCUUCCAAGAGAAACAGAACAGACUUGGAGCAUCCAUCCAUUUCUGCAGGUGCAGAGGAGCAGAGAGAGUACCAGUGUGUAUCAGGAGAAAAGAUGAGGCAGUGUUUUUCUCUUAAAAAGUCAGAAAGCCUCUGCAGCUUUCACUUUUCAGCCUCAGCCUUCUGCUUGCAAGAAUCCUCACUUGCAAAUCCUAUUCAAUAGCAACUUGUUUUGAUUAUUUUUGUACCUUGGUCCGUGCUUACUUUGAGUCCAAUCCAGAAGAAGGCACCCAUUUAGCAGUCCGGGUCUGCAUAGGUACCUGUAAGCAGGGCAAAUGAUGCAAUUCACCCUUUAAACUCCUAUUUAUGUCUCUCUGUUUAGGAUUCCCUUAGGAUUUUCAUUCUUCAUUCUGUCCCAUCUUCUUUAAUGCACAUGAUGAUUGGCAAGGAACUGCCUUGUUAAAUCUGUCUUUGCAUCUAGAAAAUAUCCAAAGGGCUGAAUGAUACUCUAAUUAAAAUCUAUUUGCUUCAUACUUCCUCUGUACUCAUCACAGCUUUCCUCUGUGACCUCAGUGUAUCUCUUGGCAUUAUCUCAGCUGUUACCCUACUCUGUUCCUCCUGCUGUGGGUGGAUUGGUUACAGCUCAGUAGGUUGGUGUGAAGUUUGCAGAGAGCAGCAGAAUUUUGCACUCUGAGCUCCCUUAGCCCACAGGCUCAAUAAACACAGGGCUUUUCACCACUGAGCUCAGAGUCACAAGUGCAAACAGUGCCAGGCUGGCAGCCUGGGGAGAGGUAACCAGAGGACAAGAGGUGAAAUAUGCUGUGAUUAUUCUAUUCCAGAGCAAAGCCAAUCCCAUGGUAAAGCUGUGAGCUGAAGGACUACGAAGCCAUCUGCACUGGGAUGUUUCCCAUGAAGUACUGAGGGACACGGUUAGUGGGCAUGGUGGUGGUGGGUUGGCAUUUAGACUAGAUGAUCUUAGUGGUCUUUUUGAACUUUCAUGAUUCUACGAUUCCAAGUGUGCCUGCAAGACAGGGCAGGUUAUGAUCCUGGAUGCAGGUUCAGUUAUUAGAGGUACAGGAUAGGCACAUUGGAACAACUUAGGGAUGGUGGUGGUGGUGAGACCCCGGAACAGGUUGUCCAGUGAGGUUGUGAAUGUUCCCUCCCUGGGCUGGAUGGGGCUGUGACCAACCUGGUCUAGAGGGAGGUAUUCCUGCCUAUAGCAUGGGGGUUGGAACUAGGUGAUCUUAAACGCCCCUCCCAACACAAACUAGUCUAUGAUCCUAUGAUAAAUCAGUUUUAUGUGGAUUCUCAGUAUAAACUGAAUGCACACAAGAUCAGUGUCCUUCCUCAGAGCCAUUUGUGAUUCAGUCUGCACCUUUACUGCAACAUGUCUGCAAAGCAGAAAACUCCCAACAAGCUCCUUCCUUGGAACAUGGCCGAGUCAUGCCCUAAGAGCUGAAGCCAUGCCCUACUGUGAGGACAGGAGCAUUGCGCUCCCCGUUCUCCAGCAUGUCCUUGCAUUCUACUUCUCUCAUACUUGCAUGCAGAAGUGCAAGGGGUCGAGCUCACCUUCCUGCUGACUGCCUGGCGUGGGCUGGUGUGGAUGAGCAUGGAUUGUCAGCACUGCAGUCACUCAGCCGGUGAAUAAUGGAGGUCAUGAGGAGGCAGGAACAGCUCUCACUCCCAGCCCCAGAUUAAUGUCAGACAGGACUGUAUUGUCACAGCCUUCAAGUCAUCAGCACUUGUCAGCUCUCGUGGGCAGUGAGGGCUGCAUUGCCCUCCUGGUGCUUUGAGGCCUUCUGAAAAAGAAGCUCAGAAAUGUAGUGUUUUGCUUGAAAACCUUCCUCCCCACCAAUUGAUUCAUAUUGUAUUAUAAAACAUAGGAUGUCAUAGGAAGGAUCCAGCUGACACGAAGUCUUUAGCCCAGGUGCUAAAAUUAAUUAACAAUGUAAACAUUUCGAAAGUGGAAGGCAUAUUAUUUUCUUGUAAGACAUUGAUUUGGAGGUUGUAUUAAUUCACCCUUCAGCUUCCCCCCUGUGUAGGAUGACCUGAGGGAUCUCUUCCCAUGGAUAAGCUACAGAUUGAAAUUUAAAAUUCUUGAAAAGAAAGGAAGUAAAUUCCUGCCAAUGCACCCGGAAUACAUUGGCUGUUGUUAUUUGUGCACAUAAAUUACUCAGUUUCCUCGGAUGGAUUGAUGAGCAGAAAAUUGCACAGCUUAGGCACUGCUGAAAACCAAUAACUAAGGUUAAUGCCUAUUUUCCUUCUGGGAAAAUCCACGCAAAUUGUCACACCACGUUUUGCAGUUGAAUGGCCAUAUGAAUGGGGCAGUGGCUGCAGGGCUCACUCCAGGUGCCCCGUGUUUCUGUCAGCCCUGGCACUGAGCCCAUCCCUGCAGAGCCCUCCCUUUGCCAGAGCGGAAAUUCCAUUUUUCCGGUCAGCUUUAUUUUCUGCACAAUUAUUGUCUACAUUUGUCUCAGGGAUUUUUUUUUUUUUUUUUUUUUUUUUAAUGAUAACGGAAGAAAUGCUUCAAUCCCUUCCAUGUUUCCCUUUUUAGCACUGUCCUGCUGUGAUUUACUGGACGCUGCUAAACAGAGAUCUCUGGCUGGAAAACCCAAGGCUGGACGCUGAGCAGAUGGCAAUGGUGGCUGAGAUUUAUCGGAAAGGAGACGUUCUUGUCUUGGUGCAGCUCAUACUUUACGAGUGCUUGCCACCUUCUGGUUUGAGAAAGGAUUACAACCGUUAAACUACUGGGAAUUGAGAGGAAAUCGACUGUAAAAACUCUGGUCCUGUUCCUAAUCCCCCUAAAAGGAUUGACGGAUUUGCAAAGUGCCAUAAUGCCUGUCAGAGAAUUUGGAAAUGAAAGGAUGGAUGAUGCUGUCGAUAUCCUUGAAGAAUGCCCUUUAACCAUUGUGUAAAAUAUUAAGGGAAAAUACUGACAGCAGGAGCAAUGGAAAAUUAAUCUUAAAAGCGAAAUAGGUGCAAAGCUUCCAAAAAGAAAAGAAUUUUGAAAUAGUGAACAUUUUUUCUCACAAAAAUGUUUGCAGAUUUUGACCAAUCUGACACUUCCACUCAAUCCUAUCAGCUGUCAUUUGUCUGCCCAGCUUCAGUGAUGCCACUUAAAAUGAUUACAUCUGCCCUUUGUGCAAGAGGAGGAUGCACAGUAUCUGUAAAAAAAGCAACUUUACAGUCAUGGCUACUCAAAUAAUACGAAUAGCACUACAAAAAAAGUCAGAAUUACCUUAUUCAGUCAUUUUCAAUUUAGCCAGAUGAGUGUUUUCACAACACGCGUGUACUUCAUGAAGGCUAGUAAACACUUUUUCUAAUGGAUAUCACAUUGUCUGGCUUCAUGUAAUUCAAACUUCAUUUCAGAUGUCACAGUUUAGUCCUUAAAAACCAUUUAUAUUUAAUUUACCAUGAUCUUAAUAGAAGGCACCAGAGUAUCUGAACACAUUCCAGCAGUGUAUGAAGCACUGUGACUAACAUAUGCCAUUUGUUUGUUCAAUUUGUUCCUUCCCAGCAUGGGACAAAUGGGCAGCAAAGCACUUCUUUCUGUGUGUUUUUAUAAUAUGCACAAAGAACUAUGUUUGUAUUGGGAAAGGCAGGUCUGAACCAAUAUCCCUCACACACAGAGAGAAAAGCAGUGAGGUUUUGAUGCUCCCCAGUCGUUGUCAGGUCACAUAAGGAUUUUGGCCGGCACUCCAAAAAUGGUUGGUUGAUUUCUCGGAUAUAACUUGACCUUGCUGAUCUUCUCACUGUAGGGUACAAGCACGGCAGAGUCCCUGCUUACCUUCGCUAAUCAGAACAGAUUUGCUGUAUCCCCCCACUGGGUCUGUACGAUGACUGUGGUUGCAGCAAGAUGAGCAGCAGCCAUUUGCCCACUUUGACUCCCUAAGAAGGCUGGGGAAGAGAAGCCGAAAAUUGGAGGAGAGCUGGCAGGUAUGGAUCAAUGGUGCGAUGAGCUGUAGAACUCCUUGCUGAGAACACAUCUUUUUGGAUACUAGCAUCUACAGAUAAUUCAGGAAAAGACAGGGAAGAAAUUAAAGAAAAUGAAGCCAUGACUUUUGUCAGGGCCCGGAAUUGCUUCUAUGCAGUAGAGAAGAGCUGGAGGAAAAAAGCUCUGCUAAUUCUUUCCAGACAAGAAGGCGAGUUAGGGUCAGAGCUAGCAGGAACAAAGAUAAAAAUAAAAGAACAAGAAGUCUCUGAGACACCAAGAAAUAAUUUUACACUUUCUACACUUUGCAGCCUGUGUUCACUCCCUGUCCAUCUUUCCCUGGGGCUGUGCUUGGUGCUACAGCCAUUUCUGAGGGCCAGGAGCCACGCUCAGCUGAGGAAGCAGCCACCAGUGAUGGCCAUCUUCAGGUUUGCCCUGAACCCUCCAGAGCAGACCCAGGCCCACUUUGAGACUGUGAGGUUUUGAGCGUCAGGCACAGCCUGGCAGCUUGCUCUGACUUUGCUGCAUUCGUUGCUGUCUCUUAAGCAACAUUCAUCUGCAUUUCUCACAACAAUUCCUUUUUCUGUUUUUUUUUUUCUUUUCUUUUUUUUUUUUUUUCUUCUCAUCCUUAGGAUCAGGGUGCUGUUUUCUUAGAUUUGUUCUUGUGAAUCACUUCUGCUUAGUAGAUCGCUUUGUAACCACUUUGAGAAUACCAGGCAAUCAAAGUUUCAUUGCUAUGACUGUUCACUUAAAUGAUACAAUAUGUAUCUGCUCAUUAUGUGGUUGAAUGGCUUCCAGAUUUCCCAGUGCAUGCAUCUGAGGACGAUAUAUUUAAAAUUCCCACUUGGCAAAUGUUUUUCAAUACUGUCUUAAAUAAACUAGUUUCCAUGGAUGUUCUUGCCAAUACAUUUAUUAGUUCUGAUCUCUGGGCUUUAUCCAAACUGACCGGUCAUUUGUCAGUCAAAAUAUACAGAUGCAAAUGGUUGUGCCAUGAAAAAAAAAAAAGGAAUUUUAGUUUCCAGUUCUUUCCAUGCUUGUGGUGGUGUUUUUCAUUCUGAGUACGGGACAUUUUCAGAAGGCGAAUUGUGAAACUGCUGUAGUAUCUGUUGCCUUUCUGAACACACGUGAGGCUCCACGAGGGUAUGUAACAGCAUGGCGAGAAACCAUUCCCAUCGCAGGAACAAACGAAGCUGAAUUUAUCUUGCCAUGCCAUUCACAAUUGAAAUGAAUAAAGACCCACAGGACUGCGUGCCAUUGGAUGGUGCCAAAUACAACCUUACAUGAGCUCCCUGCUAUCUGAAGGCUCCUGCUGCUUGCUGUAGCUCAUCACCAGGCAAACGGAUGAUUUAGUGCGUGCGAGUGUAGCCAUAAACCAAAAGCUUCCAGAUGAAAUAAUGCUCUCUCACUCUCAACAGAAGCAAUUACAAUGUAGCUGUCUGUACAGCCUUUAACAUUGCUACUAAAAGGCUGAGCUACUCUAAAGUGCACAGUGAUAGAGCUGAGUUUCUCCGGCUGAGUAGUUUUUGCACCUGCUGAACACAUCCUAAAGCCUCGGGAAUCUUAAAGGAAGCCAGAAAAAGUCUACACAGCCUCACAGAGCGUGUGUUUUGGACGUGAAUACAUAACUUGCAUAUAAAAUAUAUACGCAUUCCUUCCUUUAUACACACACAUGCACAUAUGGUGAGAAAGCAAUGUCUUAUUUUGCUAUAUUUCUAAAAUAAAUCACUACUUUCAUAGGAUAAUUGAAAGAUGCUCACAGUUCUUCUAGUAUGGACUUAGAAUGAAUUUUCAUGAGAAAUAUCUUAUUUUCCCACAAAAUAUAUCCAGAGCAGAUAGAGUUUUCAGGAGCAAGUAAAAGAUACUCAGUAUUCCCUCACUUUAAUUCAAACAAUUCUUGGUGUUUCAAAAGUUUGACGAUAGCCCCACAGAAAAGAGCAUUCCUCUGCCAGCUCUACUGGUUGCCUCAAAGCAUUCAAGCGCUUUGUGCAACUUAAAGAUCAAAUUCUUCAUGAGAUGACAUCUAGAAAUCAAUGCCAUACACAUUGUGCAGCCUUUGCCAUGAAGCAUCGUGCUCUGGCGUGCUGCCUGCCCUCCUCUCCUUGACCCAAAGAUCUUUGGAAUGCAUAGAGGCUGAGGGGUCAGCCUGUGAAACACAAGCAAAUCGAUGCUGGGAACUCAGACUGAAAAGAGCUGUAUGCAGUCCAUAUUUAUGGCCAGAAGGGUGUACUAGCCAAGUCUUCCCAAUCAGAGAUAUGCCAGAGGUCUUAGCAUUGCUCAAUAAGUCAGUAUCAGCCUCAUAAUUUGAUUUGUAGACCUCAAGAUGUAAGGAGGUCACCAUUUCUCUAAGCAGUUCAUUAUGUGAUUAAUUAACUUCAAAGCUUAAGCAGAUAUCACCCUGUACUUCUCACUUGACUAUGUCUGGCUUGACAAUCUUUCCCAGUGUACACUUGCUUCUGUACUUUAACUGUAUAAAAUACUUCUCUGAGGUUGUCUCCUAUAGAUGGGACUUCCUAAUUGUUUCUGGGACUUGAUAUUAUGACUCUGUAAAAUGUUUUGCUGUGUGAUCCGAGUCUGCAGGUAAGAUAAGUUCAGGACACGGUUGAACAGCAAAAAUUUUCUGUACAUAACACAGGAUUAAAUUCACCAUGAUACAACAUACCAUUUUGCUGCCUGAAGUCUUGAAGCCAUUUGUAUAGGCCAAAUAACCAACUGAUUCAUCCACAAUCAGAAAUGACUUCAUACUUCCCUGCUACCCCUUGAUGAAAUAUAUAUGACAAUGUAGCCCCAAAGUAGAAUCACUUCCAGAAUACCUACUUAAGAGAUACACCUUUGCUAGUGAUUUUCUAGGUAUCAUUUAGGAUUCGCUAGUCAAUUCCUUGUCCAUAUACUAUAUUUAUGAUUGUUUUGGAUGUUUAAUGAAACUUUGAGGCAAUUCCAUUUGAAACACCUCAAAGAAUUGUAACAUGAUAGAUUAAGAGAAAGAAUAGCUUGGGGAAAUACAAAGCACAAUCAGC
ensembl:lncRNA